ACUCCAGUUAUCAGAGGCAAUUCUUCCUUGGACAUACAGGUACAGUGCAGAGGCAAAGUGAACCAACUAUUGAGUGGAAUUAGAGGUGAUGACCCAUUGGUAACAAGCAAUGAGUUGAUUCUACCACAAAUGUGAUGACCCCUCUGUCAAAGGCUGAGAAGGGAGGAAUUGGAGGAGAGGGUAUGAGACAAGAACAGAAUCUAAAGGAAUUAAAGAGGAAAGAAGGAAAUGGCAAGGAGAGGAGGAGGAGGAGGGAG
rnacentral:misc_RNA from 1 species